rnacentral:misc_RNA from 1 species
UCCGAGUUGACCCCGGCAGUCUCCUGCGAGUCCCCGCCAUUACGCGCUGGCAACACAGGACAAGGGUUGCGCUCGUUGCGGGACUUAACCCAACAUCUCACGACACGAGCUGACGACAGCCAUGCACCACCUGUAUACCGGCUUCACCCUGCAUGUCAAGCCCUGGUAAGGUUCUUCGCGUUGCGUCGAAUUAAGCCACAUGCUCCGCCGCUUGUGCGGGUCCCCGUCAAUUCCUUUGAGUUUUAGCCUUGCGGCCGUACUCCCCAGGCGGGGUGCUUAAUGCGUUUGCGACGGCACGGAAGGGGUUGAUGCCUCCCACACCUAGCACCCAACGUUUACGGCUGGGACUAC